rnacentral:rRNA from 1 species
GGACUGCAGUCUGCAACCCGACUGCACGAAGCCGGAAUCGCUAGUAAUCGCGGAUCAGAAUGCCGCGGUGAAUACGUUCCCGGGCCUUGUACACACCGCCCGUCACACCAUGAGAGUUGGGGAUACCCGAAGCCUGUGAGCCAACUGUAAAGAGGCAGCAGUCGAAGGUAGAAUCAAUGAUUGGGGUGAAGUCGUAACAAGGUAUC